rnacentral:rRNA from 1 species
GGAUCGCCCUUAUGGGGCGCAGCAGGCGCGAAAACUUUACAAUGCAGGAAACUGUGAUAAGGGAACCCCGAGUGCCCGUAUACGCGGGCUGUCCGGGUGUAUAAAAAGCAUCUGAAGAAAGGGCCGGGCAAGACCGGUGCCAGCCGCCGCGGUAAUACCGGCGGCUCGAGUGGUGACCACUUUUAUUGGGCUUAAAGCGUUCGUAGCUGGACUCUUAAGUCUCUUGGGAAAUCCCGCGGCUCAACCGUGGGGCGUUUAAGAGAUACUGGGAGUCUAGGAACCGGGAGAGGUAAGAGGUACUUCGGGGGUAGAAGUGAAAUUCUGUAAUCCUCGAGGGACCACCGAUGGCGAAGGCAUCUUACCAGAACGGCUUCGACAGUGAGGAACGAAAGCUGGGGGAGCGAACGGGAUUAGAUACCCCGGUAGUCCCAGCCGUAAACGAUGCGCGUUAGGUGUACUGGUGACCACGAGUCACUGGGGUGCCGAAGGGAAACCGUGAAACGUGCCGCCUGGGAAGUACGGUCGCAAGGCUGAAACUUA